rnacentral:rRNA from 1 species
UACGGAGGGUGCAAGCGUUAAUCGGAAUUACUGGGCGUAAAGCGUGCGUAGGCGGAUUAUUAAGUCAGAUGUGAAAUCCCGGGGCUCAACCUCGGAACUGCAUUUGAAACUGGUAGUCUAGAGUUCGAGAGAGGUGAGUGGAAUUCCGAGUGUAGAGGUGAAAUUCGUAGAUAUUCGGAGGAACACCAGUGGCGAAGGCGGCCACCUGGACCAACACUGACACUGAGGCACGAAAGCGUGGGGAGCAAACAGG